rnacentral:rRNA from 1 species
UACGAAGGGGGCUAGCGUUGUUCGGAAUUACUGGGCGUAAAGCGCACGUAGGCGGAUCUUUAAGUCAGGGGUGAAAUCCCGAGGCUCAACCUCGGAACUGCCUUUGAUACUGGGGAUAUCGAGUCCGGGAGAGGUGAGUGGAACUGCGAGUGUAGAGGUGAAAUUCGUAGAUAUUCGCAAGAACACCAGUGGCGAAGGCGGCUCACUGGCCCGGUACUGACGCUGAGGUGCGAAAGCGUGGGGAGCAGACAGG